AUUGAACGCUGGCGGCAGGCCUAACACAUGCAAGUCGAACGAGUGGCGGACGGGUGAGUAAUGUCUGGGAAACUGCCUGAUGGAGGGGGAUAACUACUGGAAACGGUAGCUAAUACCGCAUACCAUCGGAUGUGCCCAGAUGGGAUUAGCUAGUAGGUGGGGUAACGGCUCACCUAGGCGACGAUCCCUAGCUGGUCUGAGAGGAUGACCAGCCAAACUGAAACUGAGACAGGGUCCAGACACCUACGGGAGGCAGCGGGGGGGAAGAUUGCACAAGGGGCGCAAGCCUGAGGCAGCCAUGCCGCGUGUAGGAAGAGGGCCUUCGGUUUGUAAAGUACUUUCAGCGGGGAGGCGUUACCCGCAGAAGAAGCACCGGCUAACUCCGUGCCAGCGGCCGCGGUAAUA
rnacentral:rRNA from 1 species